CGGGAUGUAGCGCAGCCUGGUAGCGCAUUUGCAUGGGGUGCAAGUGGUCGCUGGUUCGAAUCCAGUCAUCCCGA
rnacentral:tRNA from 2 species